rnacentral:rRNA from 1 species
GGGUGCGAUCAUACCAGCGUUAAUGCAUCGGAUCCCAUCAGAUCUCCGCAGUUAAGCGCGCUUGGGCUAGAGUAGUACUGGGAUGGGUGACCUCCCGUGAAGUCCUAGUGUUGCACCAU